rnacentral:lncRNA from 1 species
ACCUCUUUGUAUUGCUUAGAACUAACAAAUCUGACUUUAAGUAACCAAAUCAAAUCCACGUUUUCAUACUUACUAUUUUAGAACCAACCUCCUGGACAAUUAUAUCCACAAUAUUGGUUAUAAUUUUCAUCAUAUCUUUAAAAGUGUUCCUGAAAAAAAGAACAUAGAGACAGAAUUUGGCCAACCAACUGAGAAUUCCAGGUGAGGAAUCUAAAAGUCAGUGGUUCAUCCAAGUUUACAUGGACACCAAGUGAUCAAACAGAAACUGCAGCUCACAUCUGUUGGUAACCAGUUCCAUUUGCUCUGUUUGCCCAAAGGGAAUAACAUGUAUUUGAUGGAGGUGGGGAACAGAGACUCUAUAUUCCAUCAUGUUUUUUGAGCUGGUUUGGUUGAAAAGCCAGAUUUACUAAUAAGGACUCCCCAGAGAAAAUAGAGCAAACUGUAAUUCCAAUACCAGAGUUUCAGUUAAGCUUUAUUCUUGUUUUUGAAAAUGUUUAUAAAGUGAUUACUAUGUGUAGAGAAAUAUUCUAGGUCUCAAAGGAGCAGUAAAGACCUGGCACUCCUGAAGUUCACAGUUUAAUAGGAUGAAACCCAUAUCCCUGCCUCUUACUGGAGUAGAAAGUAUGGAAGAGAGAAAUUCAUGCAUUGAUAAUAACACUCUCAGGACUUUUGGUACACUAGAAGACCUUUUAAGAGGCAAUAUCCCUGAGAAGAAAUGAACCCAGAUCUCUUAUGUGCCGAAAUGGGACCCUAUCCUCCUUUCAAUACAGUAAACUAAGAGAAUAAAAACAUGUAAGUAUAUCCA